GACAGAGGAUGCAAGCGUUAUCCGGAAUGAUUGGGCGUAAAGCGUCUGUAGGUGGCUUUUAAGUCUGCCGUCAAAUCCCAGGGCUUAACCCUGGACAGGCGGUGGAAACUACCAAGCUGGAGUACGGUAGGGGCAGGGGGAAUUUCCGGUGGAGCGGUGAAAUGCGUAGAGAUCGGAAAGAACACCAACGGCGAAAGCACUCUGCUGGGCCGACACUGACGCUGAGGCGCGAAAGCUAGGGGAGCGAACGGG
rnacentral:rRNA from 1 species